GACGAACGCUGGCGGCGUGCUUAACACAUGCAAGUCGAACGAGUGGCGAACGGGUGAGUAACACGUGGGUGAUCUGCCUUGCACUUCGGGAUAAGCUUGGGAAACUGGGUCUAAUACCGGAUAGUGCAAGAUGAGCUCGCGGCCUAUCAGCUUGUUGGUGGGGUAAUGGCUACCAAUGCGCGACGGGUAGCCGGCCUGGGAGGGGGUACGGCGACAAUAGGACUGAGAGACGGAGCAGUGUGCUACAGGGGGCAGCGGUGGCGAGUAUUGCGCAAUGGGCGGACGCCUGAUGCAGAGACGCCGGGGGUGGGAUGAAGGCCUUGGGGUUGUGAACGCCUUUCGGCAGGGACGCGGUACCUGUAUAAGAAGCACCGGCUAACUACGUGCCAGCAGCCGCGGUAAUAC
rnacentral:rRNA from 1 species